rfam:Pseudoalteromonas tunicata D2 1099591001418, whole genome shotgun sequence.
AAGUUUGAUUAUUGGUUGAGUAUCCUAACGGGCUUUUCAACAAAAUAUAGUCAAAUUCUUUUAUAGGAGAUGUGUUAGUGGCCCGUAUAGCUGGCAUUAACGUCCCUGAU